rnacentral:tRNA from 1 species
GGCUCUGUGGCGCAAUGGAUAGCGCAUUGGACUUCUAGCGACGAAAGAGCAAUUCAAAGGUUGUGGGUUCGAAUCCCACCAGAGUCG